rnacentral:rRNA from 1 species
GACGAACGCUGGCGGCGUGCUUAACACAUGCAAGUCGAACGGAAAGGCCCUGCUUUUGUGGGGUGCUCGAGUGGCGAACGGGUGAGUAACACGUGAGUAACCUGCCCUUGACUUUGGGAUAACUUCAGGAAACUGGGGCUAAUACCGGAUAGGAGCUCCUGCUGCAUGGUGGGGGUUGGAAAGUUUCGGCGGUUGGGGAUGGACUCGCGGCUUAUCAGCUUGUUGGUGGGGUAGUGGCUUACCAAGGCUUUGACGGGUAGCCGGCCUGAGAGGGUGACCGGCCACAUGGGGACAAGGAAGGGACCCGGACCCCAAGGGGAGGCAGGGGUGGGAGAUUUUGCAAAAUGGGCGGAGGCCGGGAGGAGCACCGCCGGGUGGGGAAUGAGGGCUUUCGGGUUGUAAACCGCUUUCGCCUGUGAAGAAGCGUGGGGAACGGUAAUGGGUAAAAAAGCACCGGCAAACUACGU